UGUUUUGGACAAAGGCUGAAUCUAAGGACUGUUUGGAAGAGAUCCACCCAAUAGAUUAGCUUAAAGAAGACUAUCUGGACAACUUGUUGGUGAGUAGCAUAUGAAGUCUGAGUAUAUGAGCUAAAAGUUUAUAAAGAUCAUGUAACCAACAAAUCACAAACUGGUAGACUACUGGCCAUGGAAUACCUGGAUGCUGUCAAUGUUAAAAAUGAGAAGAUUUUAUAUAAAAGGCAGCAUCCUGAUAAAUUAUCCUACAAAUAUGAAACUACUAACACUGGAUCCAUGUCUUUCCAAAAUUAUCAUCAUCAUCAUCGUCAUCAUCACAAAGACAUCACAGAGUGCUUUCUGUUUGUCAUCCACAGUGCCAAACCCUUUGCAGACAUUGUUUCUUUUAAUCUUUACAGCAAUCCUAUCAUGUAGGAUACCCUAUUAUCACCUGAUAAUUGAAGAUAAAUAAUUGUCCAAGAGUAUACAAGUAGCAGAUGAUAAAGCCACAUUUCAAACUAUAUGAUUCUGACCCAUCAACUGUCAGCCAACGGUCGUAACUGGCCUGUUUGGAUUUUGUGCCCUGCAGUUUGUCACAGUUUGCUCCAGUCUGUACGUUUUCAGCUUUUCCCAUUAUUGUUAUUGGUUGGAAAACAUGGCCCUUUGGACCAAUUGACUCACUUUUUGUGCAGAAAUGGAGCCCCUGAAAAAUGAAUUUUCAAAGGACAAUAUGGAAAAGAACUAUUUAAGAAAGUGAACACCAUGUAGGAUACAAAAGGAGCAACUAUAAGCUUCUUAAGAAAACCCUCAAAAUGAUAACCACUUCAGAAAAAGUGACAGGACAAUGCUGCACUCUCCUUAGGAAGAGAUCUCUCAGCUGCCAGAACAUAAUUUCCCUUCCAAGACUCCGCCAG